UGGAUAAUGUUGUGCUUUAAAUUGCACAUAUACCUACAGCUGGAGCACCUCUCUAGUGUGUCUGGCAAGCUUGAUGGUUUAAUUAUUAAGCUUAUGCACCAUGCCUGAUGAUGAUAUAUAAAUACCUUUGUCAAGAACCAUUUGGGUUUCCUGAUAAGCACAUUGUACCUGAAUCUUGUGGUAUCCAUGGUAGUGUAAUUAAUGUGAUAUCCACAAAUGAAGUGAUUUCCGUCACUUAAAGUAGGUCGCUGGUGAAAUUACGGUUUCCAAUAGAGCGGAGAGAGCAACUGUUCGGAAUGCCUAGCUGAACGAAUGCAUGCUACAGGCUGCGCGACAACCUUGUCAUGAAGGGCCAACUUCUGCGGUCGUUGCGCUGACAGCCACGAAAGAAGCCGUAUCACCGUGGCUUUCGUAUGAAGAUUUGAUAUGGUAAUGUGUGUUGUCUUAUAGCAAAAUUGGUGGCUAGUACACAUUGAUUAUUACCAUUUAUUAAUUUUAUCAUGUUGAUAGAAAAAAAUAAUCAGCGGUUGUUAAAGGUCCUGCCAAGGAACAGCCAUGUAUUCUGCUUAAUAUAUAUUCAAAAAAAAAAAAAAAAAUACAUGACAAUAUUUUGUAAUGUCUUGAUUGUCAUUGUUUAUUACUAAAUUAUUUAACGGCUAUGUAAGCCGGAUCUGUAAUUGAGAGCACCUACUAUGCCAAUUGUAAAUUAAUUUCUCGUAACCUUAUCAUGUUACUUGAACGACAGUUGUGUUGUACUGAUUCUAUCACCUACUGGCUUAGUUCCAAGGAAAAAUUAUCACGUUCUCGUUACAUUAAGGAACUUAGUAUUUCCCAUGUAUGUUACAGAGCUUCUUAACAAGAGCUUGUGCUGUGUUGGAAGGUGGCUAUGAUCACGCAUAGGGUGUGUCAUGUUAACCUCUCACGAGUUGUACGCCUUCUUGCGCAUGUGGGGAGCUUCACAGCCUACAGUGACGAAGCCAACUGUGAGUUUGUUCCAUGUAUUUGCUAUUUAAACGACGCCAAUCAUCAUUAUUAUAUUGAGCGGUUGGUUAGUUUGGAAUGCACCGCUCACGUAAGUCUUAACUUAAGGCAUAAAUGGCAUAAUACUUGCCUGAAAAUAAAUGAAAUGUAUUGAUGGGU
rnacentral:lncRNA from 1 species